CAGAACGGACAAAAGUUUGAAUUUUCCCAAUAUCAAAAGUUAAUUAUCAUCGGGCUUCAACAAUCCAUGAAGUUACUACAUAGGCCAAUCCUAUAGGUUUUCAGCAAA